GCGAAAACAUGGGUAUUUUCUUUUAGUUCGUCCGUAAACUUACAUUUACGUUUCGGCAUGGCUGCAGAUGUGCUGUAAACAAUGCAACUAGUGAAGUGCUCAGUGUUGCCAGAUUGGAAAUGGUGGAGUAUCGUACCAAAGGCUCAAAGUGGUCGUAUUUGGAGGAUAAUUAUUAUGUAUCUGGCAACAUUGAGAUCGGUCGACCAAUGACUGUUUUCUCUACAGUCAGAGCUCGCGAAAGAAGGUGGAACGUAAGCGAGACACCAUUUCCAAAACUGGUAAGGGCGUAAUAACUAGUUUGUGAAAGACCCAGAGAAACACAAAUAUACGACGAAGCAAAAUCCCGGACGUUUUUGGAAUCUCUGCCGGACGCAUUUUUAAGGUCUCAAAAAGAGGACAUGUCCGGGGAAAAGAGGACGCUUGGUCACCCUAAUUAAACAGUCUGAUAACUCUGUCCUCGCAGCAGCUAACGAUAGCUCACCGCUUGUGUAGCUACAGCAGCUAGCUAGCCAUCUACCUUCUAUUCGUAUGUAUUUUUCUACACAAUAGAAAAGCGAUGUGCUCUCGUGCCUCCUGCAGCUCUUCUGUGUUGCACGUCAAUACUUUGAGACAAACAAGGAGCGUCAAUCUAACGUAAAUGCUUUUCAAUAAAUGUCUUUAGUUCCUGCACAAUGAACAUGAAUCUCAAAUUAAAUUAUUAAUAUUCCCCAAAUUCCAAUUAACUACACUUCCGCUGUUACAGAGGGGAAACACUGUAAUCAUACUGUAAACUUUCAAAAGUUCAUAUGUUGUGCAUAGUUUGAAGUGAAAAAAAACUUUUCUUCAAUUGUGUUUGGGUUCAGGCUCUGUUUAGGAUCGGUAUCGGAAAAACCCAAACGAUACUCAUCCCUACUCUCAUGCGCGCUCAACGUGAAGCUAAAGCCAGCCGCUGGUUAGCUUAGCAUGAAGGCUGGAGACAAGAGGGCUUAAAAGGGAUGUUUAAAAAUCCGGAUUCAACAGUUUACAAAUUUCCGACUUGAUGAAACAAUGGACAAAAAUCGUUCUUUAUUUAUUCUUAAAGUGUUUGCUAUCAAGAUCAAGAUGGGGUCAUAGAAAAAAACAAGUAGAGCAAAGUGUUUUAUGCACCAUGUCAAGUGGAUGAGCUCUAUCAAUACAAAUACACCGUCCACACACACACAUUUACUCUAAAGGCUCAUUUGCAUAUUGUACCGUCACUGUAACCAUAGAGACGUUACAUCAUGAUGUCUCCAUGUUCCAUGUUCCAUGUUCUAUGCUCCGUUCACCACAGCAUAAGAACACAGUUUGUUGCACAUCCAGUCAGUCAGUCAGUUUCAAACCUCGCAUCUACACACUGAAGUUUUCCGGACCUACACUUGCAGAAAGCAACCAUGUAAUGCCUCAGGAGUCUGUAGAGGGGACGAAGACGCAUUCUGCUGCACUUAACAGAGCUCAAGACCAACGAGACGCCAUCAGGACGCCAUCAGGACGCCACGUCAACGGGACGCCAUCCGGACGCCACGUCAACGGGACGCCAUCAGGACGUCACGUCAACCCCUCAGGAGCAAAUCCAGAUCUACGCAUGACACACACACACACACACAGAUGCCAACAGGACGCCAUCAGGACGCCACGUCAUCGGGACGCUACGUCAUCGGGACGCCAUCAGGACGCCACGUCAUCGGGACGCCAUCAGGACGCCACCAAAUCCAGAUCUACUCAUGACACACACACACACACCCCCACACACACACACACAUACACACAGAUGUACUCAGAGACACACUAACAUUUAGACAUGCUGGUAAAUUUAGAUGUACAAUUAGAUGUACACACAGACACACUAACAUUUGGAUCUAAACAAAGACACACUAUCAUUUGGUUCUAAACAAUGACACACACUAAUAGUUAGAUGUACACAAAGACACACUAACAAUUAGAUAUACGCACAGACACACUGUCAUUUGGUUCUAAACAAAGACACACACUAACAUUUAGAUGUACACACAGACACACUAGCAUUUAGAUGUACACACGGACACACUAACAAUUAGAUGUACACACAGACACACUAUCAUUUGUAUGUACACAAAGACACACUAACAAUUAGAUGUACACACAGACACACUAACAUUUAGAUGUACACACAGACACACUAACAAUUAGAUGUACACACAGACACACUAUCAUUUGGUUCUAAACAAUGACACACACUAAUAGUUAGAUGUACACAAAGACACAAUAACAAUUAGAUAUACACACAGACACACUGUCAUUUGGUUCUAAACAAAGACACACACUAAUAUUUAGAUGUACACACAGACACACUAACAUUUAGAUGUACACACAGACACACUAACAAUUACAUGUAUACACACACUAUCAUUUGGUUCUAAACAAUGACACACACUAACAUUUAGAUGUACACAAAGACACAUUAAUAUUUAGAUGUACACACAGACACACAAUUAGAUGUACACACGGACACAUCCUGAUGAUCCUCCUCACGUCUCUUCUCCUUGUCUGCAGACCAACAGGACGCCAUCAGGACGCCAUCAGGACGCCACGUCAUCGGGACGCUACGUCAUCGGGACACACUAACAAUUAGAUGUACACAAAGACAUAUUAAUAUUUAGAUGUACACACAGACACACUAACAAUUAGAUGUACACACAGACACACUAACAACAUUAACAUGUUAAUAACUUUUCUUCUUUUCUCUCUUCUCAGGAACUGCUUCAGAUGUUUUCCCAAUGAUUGCGUUAUUAUUAUUGUUAAAUAUGUUGUUUAUUAUUAUUGUUUAUAAAU
ensembl:lncRNA